rnacentral:rRNA from 1 species
GUUGAGGUAGCUGGAAUGAGUAGUGUAGCGGUGAAAUGCAUAGAUAUUACUCAGAACACCGAUUGCGAAGGCAGGUUACCAAGUUAUAACUGACGCUGAGGGACGAAAGCGUGGGGAGCGAACAGGAUUAGAUACCCUGGUAGUCCACGCCGUAAACGAUGCUAACUCGUUUUUGGGCUUUAGGGUUCAGAGACUAAGCGAAAGUGAUAAGUUAGCCACCUGGGGAGUACGACCGCAAGGUUGAAACUCAAAGGAAUUGACGGGGGCCCGCACAAGCGGUGGAUCAUGUGGUUUAAUUCGAUGAUACGCGAGGAACCUUACCAAGGCUUAAAUGGGAAUUGACAGCUGUAGAAAUACGGUUUUCUUCGGACAAUUUUCAAGGUGCUGCAUGGUUGUCGUCAGCUCGUGCCGUGAGGUGUUAGGUUAAGUCCUGCAACGAGCGCAACCCCUGUCACUAGUUGCCAUCAUUAAGUUGGGGACUCUAGUGAGACUGCCUACGCAAGUAGCGAGGAAGGUGGGGAUGACGUCAAAUCAUCACGGCCCUUACGCCUUGGGCCACACACGUGAUACAAUG